rnacentral:rRNA from 1 species
AUUGAACGCUGGCGGCAUGCUUUACACAUGCAAGUCGAACGGUAACAGGCCGCAAGGUGCUGACGAGUGGCGAACGGGUGAGUAAUGCAUCGGAACGUGCCCAGUCGUGGGGGAUAACUACUCGAAAGAGUAGCUAAUACCGUAUACGAUCUAUGGAUGAAAGCGGGGGACCGUAAGGCCUCGCGCGAUUGGAGCGGCCGAUGUCAGAUUAGGCAGUUGGUGGGGUAAAGGCUCACCAAGCCAACGAUCUGUAGCUGGUCUGAGAGGACGACCAGCCACACUGGGACUGAGACACGGCCCAGACUCCUACGGGAGGCAGCAGUGGGGAAUUUUGGACAAUGGGCGCAAGCCUGAUCCAGCAAUGCCGCGUGCAGGAAGAAGGCCUUCGGGUUGUAAACUGCUUUUGUACGGAACGAAACGGCUCUGGUUAAUACCCGGGGCUAAUGACGGUACCGUAAGAAUAAGCACCGGCUAACUACGUG